rnacentral:lncRNA from 1 species
GGGGCCGGGCUGAACCAUGGCGGGCGGCGGCAUGGGGGCGGUGGGGCUCCGCGGGCAGCCUGGUUGCGCUGCACCCGGACGGGGCCGAGGGGACCUGAAAGCUGCGGCAGAGCCUGACCGCGCCGUUCUCCAGAAGAGCCCCGGCCGCGGCUGAGUCGCGCUCCGGGUGUGGACGGAGCCGGAGCCUCCCCGGGGCUCGGUGAGGACACAGGGCCCAAGCCCCGGACCUUCAAGUCUUGACCGAGCGCAUCCCCGGCCCUUCUGCGCCCACACCUGAGUUUUUGUCUGUAGGAGUUUCCGCAGUUUGCUAAGAAUCGACAUCUAGAGGAGUACUCACCACUUAAUUGAUGAUCAAUACACGUUCCUUGAAAGAACCGAUAGCAUGCGAUCGAUACAGAGCAUCUGCACUGGGAUUGUCCGCCCCGCCUGUCAGGGAGGCCUCGGGGGCUAAUGGAGCUGAGGGUAUAGUCGGCCUUGGACCCUCGCUUUUUUCCUUUCCUGUACUAUGAAGAUAACUGCCUUAUCUCCCCCUCAGGACUGUUUUGGGGAUUAAAUAGGACGUUUAAAUUACCAACGCUCUUUGAAAUAAACAUUUCAAAAUUAUUAUAACCCUUUAGUACAUGUGGGAAAACGUUGACAUUCAUGUUCAAGUUUAUUUUUCUGCUGGCUCAUUUAGGUUUGUUGAAGCCUUGAGUCCCUAGGAUUGUCUAAGAACAUGGGUAAAUGUGUGUGGAGGCCUCCCUGGAGGCCAGAGAACUGCCAGCAGCCUUCAUGAUGUUAGGGGAACAGGAACCUAGGAGAGCCAGGGUGACAUCGUUUUAAAAUCAACAACCCAUCUUGGCGGGCGCGGUGGCUCAAGCCUGUAAUCCCAGCAGUUUGGGAGAAAAAAAUUAGCCGGGUGUGGUGGUGGGCACCUGUAAUCUCAGCUACUCAGGAGGCUGAAGCAGAAUUGCUUGAACCCAGGAGGCAGAGGUUGCAGUGAGCUGAGAUCACGCCAUGGCACUCUAGCCUGGGCAACAAGAAUGAAACUCUGUCUCAAAAAAAUAAAAAUAAAAUAAAAUAAACUCCAUCUUAAAACCAGUGAAACCACCAUUGCAAAAUUAUAACUGAGACAGUGAGAGAUCUGACCUAACCAACUCCAUCCUACUUUUAACCUCCAAACUGUCCUUGUUCAUUCCUGGGUGUAGGCCAAACUAACUUUGGAAGAAACUUAGUUUAUGGUUUCCCGAAACAAAUCCUUUUCUUGUCUGGAGACUAGACUGCCUUUGUAGGACUAAC